ACACAGUUCAAUCUACAAAUCAGGAACAUUCCCUUUCUUCAACAUGCUGGACCUGGAUUACUGGAUGGUUUAUCUCCAUCUACUGGUGUUUCUCACAGGUGUCGACUGUGAAGAUCUGAGUCCAGUCAAGAAUGAAGAGUCCAGUUUAGAAGGAAACUCUGUUACUCUCACAUAUAAAUACUCUAAAAUGAUGUCAGGUGAUCAUUUCUUCUGGUAUCGACAAUAUCCAGGAACACCACCUGAGUUUCUAAUCUCUCACCUUGGAACACAAAAUGCAUCAAACCAUAGACUGUUUGUGGAAGCACAUGGAGAAAAGGUCCAAGUGCAGAUCUCCUCUGCUGCAGUGUCAGACUCUGCUGUGUACUACUGUGCUGUGAGGCCCACAGUGACAGGAAACAGCAAA